rnacentral:rRNA from 1 species
AGCAGCCGCGGUAAUUCCAGCUCCAAUAGCGUAUAUUAAAGUUGUUGCAGUUAAAAAGCUCGUAGUUGAAUUUCGGGGUUAGUAGGUUGGUCGUGCCACUGGUACGUACUGGUCUCACUGAUUCCUCCUUCCUGAUGAACUGUAAUGCCAUUAACUUGGUGUUGCAGGGAAACUGGACUGUUACUUUGAAAAAAUUAGAGUGUUUAAAGCAAGCUAACGCUUGAAUACAUUAGCAUGGAAUAAUGAAAUAGGACGUUCGAUCCUAUUUUGUUGGUUUCUAGGAUUGACGUAAUGAUUAAUAGGGAUAGUUGGGGGCAUUAGUAUUCAAUUGUCAGAGGUGAAAUUCUUGGAUUUAUUGAAGACUAACUACUGCGAAAGCAUUUGCCAAGGAUGUUUUCAUUAAUCAAGAACGAAAGUUAGGGGAUCGAAGACGAUCAGAUACCGUCGUAGUCUUAACCAUAAACUAUGCCGACUAGGGAUCGGAUGAUGUUAAUUUUUUCAAUGACUCAUUCGGCGCCUU